ACACUUAGGUGUUGUUGGGUAGGGGAGCGUUCUGUAAGCCUGCGAAGGUGGACUGUGAGGUCCGCUGGAGGUAUCAGAAGUGCGAAUGCUGACAUAAGUAACGAUAAAGCGGGUGAAAAACCCGCUCGCCGGAAGACCAAGGGUUCCUGUCCAACGUUAAUCGGGGCAGGGUGAGUCGACCCCUAAGGCGAGGCCGAAAGGCGUAGUCGAUGGGAAACGGGUUAAUAUUCCCGUACUUGGUGUUACUGCGAAGGGGGGACGAAGAAGGCUAGGCCGGCCGGGUGACGGUUAUCCCGGUUUAAGCGUGUAGGUGGAGUGAUUAGGUAAAUCCGAUUGCUUAUUAACACUGAGGCGUGAUGACGAGUCUCUACGGAGAUGAAGUGGUUGAUGCCCUGCUUCCAGGAAAAGCCUCUAAGCAUCAGGUAACAU
rnacentral:rRNA from 1 species